rnacentral:tRNA from 1 species
GCGCGGGUGGCGGAAUAGGCAGACGCGCUAGCUUGAGGUGCUAGUUCCCACAUUUUCGGGAGUGGGGGUUCAAGUCCCCCUCCGCGCA